rnacentral:rRNA from 1 species
UGAGCAAUCUGCCCUUCUCUUUGGAAUAAGCGUUGGAAACGACGUCUAAUGCCGAAUACGACCUCCUUUCGCAUGAUCGGAGGUGGAAAGCUCCGGCGGAGAAGGAUGAGCUCGCGGCCUAUCAGCUAGCUGGUGUGGGUAAUGGCCCACCAAGGCGACGACGGGUAGCCGGCCUGAGAGGGUGACCGGCCACACGUGGGACUGAGACACGGCCCAGACCUCCGUACGGGAGCAG